UUGUUGGUGGUGUAACGGUUUAGCACACGCUCCCGGAAAGAGUGAGAUCUGAGUUCGAAUCCCGGCUUACGCA